GGAUGAGCCCGCGGCCUAUCAGCUUGUUGGUGGGGUAGUGGCCUACCAAGGCGACGACGGGUAGCCGGCCUGAGAGGGUGACCGGCCACACUGGGACUGAGACACGGCCCAGACUCCUACGGGAGGCAGCAGUGGGGAAUAUUGGACAAUGGGCGAAAGCCUGAUCCAGCAACGCCGCGUGAGGGAUGACGGCCUUCGGGUUGUAAACCUCUUUCAGUACCGACGAAGCGCAAGUGACGGUAGGUACAGAAGAAGCACCGGCCAACUACGUGACAGCAGCCGCGGCCG
rnacentral:rRNA from 1 species